UAAUAAAGCUCUUGUUGCCGCCGGUGCGUUCCAAGAUGGCGGCGCCCAUGGAGGAGGCGUGACCAGCUGCCGUACAACCAAGAAGAAUAGAUUUUAUCUUGGCUAACUGAGUAGCAGCUGCUAAGAAACCCAGCCUGUUCCCAGUCCCACACAUCAGAUGAGGCCCACAGACUGAUCCAGCAAGG